ensembl:lncRNA BDNF-AS BDNF antisense RNA
AUCGCGAGAUCAGGAAGGUGGCCGAGUGUGUCGCCGCGGCCAUCAGGCACUUCUCCUUCCUGCCCUUGUAUGAAGAAGGAUGUGUUUGCUUCCCCUUGUGCCAUGAUUGUAAAUUUCCUGAGGCCUCCUCAGCCCUGCAGAACUGGCUAGAGCAAUGUAUCUUAGGCUCACUUAAGGAAGCUGUAGAGAUGAGCCCAAGGAGGGAAACCAGAAGAGCCCCCCAGGCUCACCAGUUGUUUGUUGGCUCCCUACAAACAUGUCAUUCAAGUGGCUAAUCUUACAACAGCACAAAUUCAUCUAACCAGAAAGAGAAGAGGAGGCUCCAAAGGCACUUGACUACUGAGCAUCACCCUGGACGUGUACAAGUCUGCGUCCUUAUUGUUUUCUUCAUUGGGCCGAACUUUCUGGUCCUCAUCCAACAGCUCUUCUAUCACGUGUUCGAAAGUGUCAGCCAAUGAUGUCAAGCCUCUUGAACCUGCCUUGGGCCCAUUCACGCUCUCCAGAGUCCCAUGGGUCCGCACACCUGGAGAUACUCUAUUAUAGCAAAGAAGAAAGAUAAUUUCAUUGAGCCAUCCUGUUUUACAGGAAAUUCUGCAAGUGGCAACGUGGGUCCAUUCCGUGUGUGUCACUAGAGCUGGCGCAAGCCCAUGGCCAUGGUGAGGCAGCGUUUCCACUGGAACUAAUCUGAUACCUGCACCAGCUCUUGCAACUGUGCAGUGUUCCCACUGCAAACUACGGAUGGGGAUUUUCCCUCCUGGUGAGUCAAAAUGAACAAGAAAUACCCCAGGACCUCCCUUCCCUCCUUGGCCAUUAAUGAGAUGAAGGCAAUUAACUCACAUAGUAUAAAUGAAUCAUUUGAGGUGAUGACUGCAUUUUAGGCAAAUGAUGACUUUCUUGGUUCCAUUGGUUUGCAAGUAAAAGUUACACACAUUGAAAAGACACUGAAACAGAUUUCCUAAAUGCUUCAUUUUCUGGAUGCACCAAUGUUGACCUACUAUACAUGUUAAAUGGUUUUAAAAUAUCACCUUAAAAUAAAGGAAACUUCCAGCUACUAACUCAGCUCUGAAUGGGCUAUGAAAGGCUCCAAAGGUAUGUGAAAAAUUACUGUUAUUUUGCUUUAAAAAAUGUGAUGUCUAAGAGUGUCUGCAAUGUUCUAAUGCUUCAAAACAUGUACGUAAGCCUUGUUUAUCUGGAAAUCAUUUCUUUCUGCUUAUAUCAUUUAUAAAUAGAAAAUGUUCUGUAAUAACUUAAAAUAGUUCCACAUACAUAAUGCUUUUAGUGUCAUAAUACUUACUACUGGUCUAUAUUUACCAACAUUUAUCACAUUUUACAAAAUGAAGUAGAAGAAAAAAAAGACAACGACUUUAUGGCCCUGGAAUUCCAGUAAUGGUGACCAACAUGUUUUAAAUUCCAGUAAAGGUUAUGGUUACAUUUCAA